rnacentral:lncRNA from 10 species
UCAUAAUAGAUAGAAAACACCUGAAACCAAUCUGCGGCUUCCCAGUAAGAUCUCAGGAGUGGGGAGAAGUAAUGCAAGAUCCCGGAAGUCGGCCAAUGUAUGAGGCUGCAAGUCAAGAGGUCAAGCUGCGCACUUGGUUUUUCACGUCACCCGCUUAGCCGUCUUCCAAGUUGUACUUUCCUUCUUUUCUUUCCUUUUCUUCCUGUUCUGAAGCUUUUUAAUAAGCUUUCACUCCCGCUCUGAAGUUUGCCACGAUCUCUCCUCUGCCUUAUGCCCCUCAGUUGAAUUCUUUCUUCUGAGAAGGCGAGAGUUGAAGUUGCUUGAGACCUGUAUGGAUUUGCCGCUGAGGUAAAUCAGAUCUCUGCCACCGCUAACACCUUUAUGCACAGAACUUCUGAGGAGAAAGAUGAUUCGAAGAAGAAAUGGCCCUGAAAAUCUGAUGAGUCCCCAGUAGGUGUGGCUGUUUAAAACUGCUUCAUAGGCACUGCUGACAACAAAGAAUGGUCUGAAGAAAACUUACUUCUUUAACAAAAAUGACAUAUU